UCAAUUGAAAUUGAGCAACGAAACUGUAUUGAUCGAGCACAAGAACAGUACUGUUGUCGUCCAUGGCUACCAUCACUGGUGUUGAUGAUGUGAGCAAGAACCACCCACUUAAAAAACUUGUUGAACUGACUCAAAAGGAGAAGAAGAACACUGUGAUCCUCAAUCAUCUAAGCUUGUUUGGUCCUGAAGCAGAGGUUCACCUAUGUAAUUAUAGGGACUGCACGGGUAAGGAAAAGCAGAAGGCACACCGUAUCCUUGAGGAAAUGAAGGCACACCAUAUCCU